UUAGCUUUAUUUGACCAAUGCUUAGGUACCAAACCCCACCCAUCUUGCUUCAAAUGAUUGAUAGGAAUGUAAAUAUAGACUAGUUUCUGAAUUCUGUGUCUGCAUAUCACUGGAUUUGAUUUGAUUGUAGGGUUGAACAAGGAGUCUGAGGCUUUUGCAGAAAAGCUUUUUGAUACUCUUGCUAGGCAGAGAGGUAUUCAGGGGGGUUCCAUUAACAAGAUCCAGUAGAAGGAAUUCUGGGAUCAUAUUUCUGACCAGAGCUUUGAUACUAGGCUCAAAACAUUCUUUGACAUGGUUGAUAAAGAUGCAGAUGGCAGAAUCACCGAGGAAGAAAUUAAAGAGGUACAAUACAAAAUAAUUAAUUCACCACUAACUGUUUGGCCAUAUUUUAUUUGGAAAAAAAUAGAUAGACAACCUGGAGAUGCUCUUGUUGCAUGGACCAGAGGAAACUACAAGAGGAAAAAAACAGAUACACAACCUUGGGAUGAAGUUCUUGUUGCAUGGGGAGGACAAGGAAGGUGUUUUGGCGCAGGUUUUAGUUGUUUUCUGGGGGUUUUCCCAUGCUAUUAAAAAAAAGAACACCUUCUGGACAUGAAGAAUCUGCACAAUAACAACUAGGUGGUGAUAUCAUCUGGUGCUUAGCAAAGCUUUCUACAUUGGUUGUAAAAGGACUGUUGUAGAACAUGUGACAAAUUACAUCAGUCGUAAAAUGACCGUCGUAGAACACAUGACAAACAAGGUUGCGCUUAAGCCAACAACAAUGAAGAAAGCAGUGCUUUCUACAUCAGUGUUGUUGUAGGCAUGACUUUGUUUGUGACGCGUUUCUAAGACGGUCCUUUUACGAUCGAUGUAGAAACAUCCACCCUCUACAACAACAUCAGAUUUAAAGACACGCGUCCACCGUCGUAAAAAUGCCAAUUCCAUCGAUGUAGAACGCUCUUUUUCUA